ACAGCAGCAGCCGCGGGAAUACGUAGGGUCCGAGCGUUGUCCGGAAUUAUUGGGCGUAAAGGGCUCGUAGGCGGUUUGUCGCGUCGGGAGUGAAAACCAGCAGCUUAACUGCUGGCCUGCUUUCGAUACGGGCAGACUUGAGGCAUUCAGGGGAGAACGGAAUUCCUGGUGUAGCGGUGAAAUGCGCAGAUAUCAGGAGGAACACCGGUGGCGAAGGCGGUUCUCUGGGAAUGUUCUGACGCUGAGGAGCGAAAGUGUGGGGAGCGAACAGGAUUAGAUACCCGCGUAGUCCCUGUCUCUUAUAC
rnacentral:rRNA from 1 species